GCCCCUGUAGUCCCAGCUACUCAGGAGGCUGAGGUGGGAGGAUCGCUUGAGUCCAGGAGUUCUGGGCUGCAGCACUCUACGCCGAUCGGGUGUCCGCACUAGGUUCGGCAUCAAUGUGGUGACCUCCCGGGAGCGGAGGACCACCAGGUUGCCUAAGGAGGGGUGAACCGGCCCAGGUCGAAACGGAGCAGGUCAAAACUCCCGUGCUGAUCAGACAGCUUGUAUUCUAAUGGGUCAUUUAGGAGGAGGCAGGAAAGGUGAUGGCUCCA
rnacentral:SRP_RNA from 1 species